GCUUCUAUAGUUUAAGGGUAAAACGCUUCUCAUGGGAUUGCCCAAGGGGGAGAGUUCUGGGUUCGAUUCCUUGUAGAAGCG